rnacentral:rRNA from 1 species
AACGAACGCUGGCGGCAUGCCUAACACAUGCAAGUCGAACGAACCCUUCGGGGUGAGUGGCGCACGGGUGCGUAACACGUGGGAGCCUGCCCUUAGGUUCGGAAUAACAGUUAGAAAUGACUGCUAAUACCGGAUAAUGUCUUCGGACCAAAGAUUUAUCGCCUUUGGAUGGGCCCGCGUAGGAUUAGCUAGUUGGUGAGGUAAAGGCUCACCAAGGCGACGAUCCUUAGCUGGUCUUAGAGGAUGAUCAGCCACACUGGGACUGAGACACGGCCCAGACUCCUACGGGAGGCAGCAGUGGGGAAUAUUGGACAAUGGGCGAAAGCCUGAUCCAGCAAUGCCGCGUGAGUGAUGAAGGCCUUAGGGUUGUAAAGCUCUUUUACCUGGGAUGAUAAUGACAGUACCAGGAGAAUAAGCCCCGGCUAACUCCGUGCCAGCCGCCGCAGUAAAAC